rnacentral:sRNA from 1 species
CAGCAACCUUGCCAUCGGGCCGCUGCUGC